UACGAAGGGUGCAAGCGUUACUCGGAAUUACUGGGCGUAAAGCGUGCGUAGGUGGUUUGUUAAGUCUGUUGUGAAAGCCCCGGGCUCAACCUGGGAAUGGCAAUGGAUACUGGCAGGCUAGAGUGCGGUAGAGGGUAGUGGAAUUCCCGGUGUAGCGGUGAAAUGCGUAGAGAUCGGGGAGGAACACCGUGGCGAAGGCGGCUACCUGGACCAGCAC
rnacentral:rRNA from 1 species